UGGGGAAUUUUGCACAAUGGGGGAAACCCUGAUGCAGCGACGCCGCGUGAUUUAGAAGGCCUUCGGGUUGUAAAAAUCUUUUCUAUGGGAAGAAAAUGACAGUACCAUAGGAAUAAGGACCGGCUAAUUACGUGCCAGCAGCCGCGGUAAUACGUAAGGUCCGAGCGUUGUCCGGAAUCAUUGGGCGUAAAGGGUACGUAGGCGGGUAAGCAAGUUAGAAGUGAAAUCCUAUAGCUCAACUAUAGUAAGCUUUUAAAACGGAUCAUCUUGAGCUUUUGAAAGAAGAGUGUAAUUCCUAGUGUAGCGCUGAAAUGCGCUGAUAUUAGGGGGAUUACCGGUGGCGCAAACGAGUUUCUGGCGAUAACCUUACGCUGAGGUACGAAAGAGUGCGUAGCAAACAGG
rnacentral:rRNA from 1 species